rnacentral:rRNA from 1 species
CGGGUAGAGUAAUACAUAAGUAACCUGCCCUAGACAGGGGGAUAACUAUUGGAAACGAUAGCUAAGACCGCAUAGGUACGGACACUGCAUGGUGACCGUAUUAAAAGCGCCUCAAAGCACUGGUAGAGGAUGGACUUAUGGCGCAUUAGCUGGUUGGCGGGGUAACGGCCCACCAAGGCGACGAUGCGUAGCCGACCUGAGAGGGUGACCGGCCACACUGGGACUGAGACACGGCCCAGACUCCUACGGGAGGCAGCAUG